rnacentral:rRNA from 1 species
UACGGAGGAUGCAAGCGUUAUCCGGAAUGAUUGGGCGUAAAGCGUCCGCAGGUGGCGAUGUAAGUCUGCUGUUAAAGAGUCUAGCUCAACUAGAUAAGAGCAGUGGAAACUACAUAGCUAGAGUACGUUAGGGGCAGAGGGAAUUCCUGGUGUAGCGGUGAAAUGCGUAGAGAUCAGGAAGAACACCGGUGGCGAAGGCGCUCUGCUAGGCCGUAACUGACACUGAGGGACGAAAGCUAGGGGAGCGAAUGGG